rnacentral:rRNA from 1 species
UACAGAGGGGGCAAGCGUUGUUCGGAAUUACUGGGCGUAAAGGGCUCGUAGGCGGCCAACUAAGUCAGACGUGAAAUCCCCAGGCUCAACCUGGGAACUGCGUCUGAUACUGGAUGGCUUGAAUCCGGGAGAGGGAUGCAGAAUUCCAGGUGUAGCGGUGAAAUGCGUAGAUAUGCGGAGGAACACCGAUGGCGAAGGCAAUCCCCUGGACCUGUACUGACGCUCAUGCACGAAAGCGUGGGGAGCAAACAGG